rnacentral:rRNA from 1 species
CCUUCCGUAGGGUGAACCUGCGGAAGGAUCAUUACCGAGUGCGGGCCCUCGUGGCCCAACCUCCCACCCUUGUCUCUAUACACCUGUUGCUUUGGCGGGCCCACCGGGGCCACCUGGUCGCCGGGGGACAUCUGUCCCCGGGCCCGCGCCCGCCGAAGCGCUCUGUGAACCCUGAUGAAGAUGGGCUGUCUGAGUACUAUGAAAAUUGUCAAAACUUUCAACAAUGGAUCUCUUGGUUCCGGCAUCGAUGAAGAACGCAGCGAAAUGCGAUAAGUAAUGUGAAUUGCAGAAUUCCGUGAAUCAUCGAAUCUUUGAACGCACAUUGCGCCCCCUGGCAUUCCGGGGGGCAUGCCUGUCCGAGCGUCAUUUCUGCCCUCAAGCACGGCUUGUGUGUUGGGUGCGGUCCCCCCGGGGACCUGCCCGAAAGGCAGCGGCGACGUCCGUCUGGUCCUCGAGCGUAUGGGGCUUUGUCACUCGCUCGGGAAGGACUGGCGGGGGUUGGUCACCACCAAAAUUUUACCACGGUUGACCUCGGAUCAGGUAGGAGUUACCCGCUGAACUUAAGCAUAUCAAUAAGCGGAGGAA